UUCAGCACACUUCAGCACCGAGGCUGGGCAUGAGGGAUCCGUCACCACCACGUCAAAUACCCCUAAAGCAAUAUCUGCAGGAAGCAGGGGAAGGUACCUUUGUUAUGGGCACUUGAAUGGUGCUGCUUCACGGAGGCUGCCCCCCCAGUCAUGAGGAUCUCAGACCAGAGCUCCAGGAAGUUCUGCUGUUGGUCUGACACCAAGAGUACCUUCAGAUUAUGGAAAGGAUUCUCACGGGGUUGCCUACAAAGGAGUCAGACACAGCACCUUGGAAUUGGAAAAGACCUUAACAGGACAGAUUACAGCGAACAACAUGGGAAUACUUUCAAAAGCCCUGCAUUAGGGCACCACUCCCCUUCUCUUUGGUGAAUCGUGUAUUUAUUCUCUGGGAUCCUAGCCUUCUAAUUCACCCCUUCUGCUGUCCACAUUUGUCCUGGGGCUGAGAAUAAAAUGCCUUGCUUAAAAUUCAGGCCCCAUGGGCACCUGGGUGGCUUAGUCGGUUAAGCGUCC